GUUCAUGCUUUUAUAGUAUGAAAAUUGGUGAUUUAUAAUAACUUAGCAAAUCGCAAAGUGAAAACAGGCGAUAAAUCAUUCAAGUUUCUGACCUAUCAGCUUUCGACGGUAUGGUAUUGGCUUACCGUGGCAGUGACGGUUAACGGGGGAUUAGGGUUCGAUUCCGGAGAGGGAGCCUGAGAAACGGCUACCACAUCUAAGGAAGGCAGCAGGCGCGCAAAUUACCCAAUUCUAACAGUUUGAGAGAGGUAGUAACAAGAAAUAACAAUACAAGGCAGUUAAAAUGCUUUGUAAUUGGAAUGAUAGAAAUUUAAACCCUUUUUAAAGUAUCAAUUGGAGGGCAAGUCUGGUGCCAGCAGCCGCGGUAAUUCCAGCUCCAAUAGCGUAUAUUAAAAUUGUUGCAGUUAAAAAGCUCGUAGUUGAAGUUCUGCUGAAAGUAACCGGUCUGCUUUUAAUAAAAGUGGUAUCUUGGUAUGUAUUUAGCAAUGAUGUCCUUUGAAGUGUUUUUUACUUUAUUGUAAUAAAGCAUAUUCAGGACUUUUACUUUGAGAAAAUUAGAGUGUUUCUAGCAGGCUAACGCUUUGAAUACUGCAGCAUGGAAUAAUAA
rnacentral:rRNA from 1 species